UACGUAGGGGGCAAGCGUUGUCCGGAAUCAUUGGGCGUAAAGAGCGUGUAGGCGGCCUGAUAAGUCGGUUGUGAAAGUCAAGGGCUCAACCCUUGAAUGCCGACCGAUACUGUCAGGCUAGAGUCCGGAAGAGGCGAGUGGAAUUCCUGGCGUAGCGGUGAAAUGCGCAGAUAUCAGGAGGAACACCAAUGGCGAAGGCAGCUCGCUGGGACGGUACUGACGCUGAGACGCGAAAGCGUGGGGAGCGAACAGG
rnacentral:rRNA from 1 species